rnacentral:rRNA from 1 species
GUGGGGAAUCUUGGACAAUGGGGGCAACCCUGAUCCAGCCAUGCCGCGUGAGUGAUGAAGGCCUUCGGGUUGUAAAGCUCUUUCGGCGGGGAAAAUAAUGAUGGUACCCGCAGAAGAAGCCCCGGCUAACUUCGUGCCAGCAGCCGCGGUAAUACGAAGGGGGCUAGCGUUGUUCGGAAUUACUGGGCGUAAAGCGCGCGUAGGCGGUUCGGUAAGUCGGGUGUGAAAUCCCCAGGCCUAACCUGGGAACUGCAUUCGAGACUGCCGAGCUAGAGGCUUGGAGAGGAGAGUGGAAUUCCCAGUGUAGAGGUGAAAUUCGUAGAUAUUGGGAAGAACACCAGUGGCGAAGGCGGCUCUCUGGCCAAGUUCUGACGCUGAGGCGCGAAAGUGUGGGGAGCAAACAGGAUUAGAAACCCCUGUAGUCC